GACGAACGCUGGCGGCGUGCCUAAUACAUGCAAGUUGAGCGCUGAAGGUUGGUACUUGUACCGACUGGAUGAGCAGCGAACGGGUGAGUAACGCGUGGGGAAUCUGCCUUUGAGCGGGGGACAACAUUUGGAAACGAAUGCUAAUACCGCAUAAAAACUUUAAACACAAGUUUUAAGUUUGAAAGAUGCAAUUGCAUCACUCAAAGAUGAUCCCGCGUUGUAUUAGCUAGUUGGUGAGGUAAAGGCUCACCAAGGCGAUGAUACAUAGCCGACCUGAGAGGGUGAUCGGCCAAAUUGGGACUGAGACACGGCCCAAACUCCUACGGGAGGCAGCAGUAGGGAAUCUUCGGCCAUGGACGAAAGUCUGACCGAGCAAAGCCGCGUGAGUGAAGAAGGUUUUCGGAUCGUAAAACUCUGUUGGUAGAGAAGAACGUUGGUGAGAGUGGAAAGCUCAUCAAGUGACGGUAACUACCCAGAAAGGGACGGCUAACUACGUG
rnacentral:rRNA from 1 species